rnacentral:rRNA from 1 species
UCGGGAAUUUUGGGCAAUGGGCGAAAGCCUGACCCAGCAACGCCGCGUGAAGGAUGAAGUAUUUCGGUAUGUAAACUUCGAAAGAAUAGGAAGAAUAAAUGACGGUACUAUUUAUAAGGUCCGGCUAACUACGUGCCAGCAGCCGCGGUAAUACGUAGGGACCAAGCGUUGUUCGGAUUUACUGGGCGUAAAGGGCGCGUAGGCGGCAAUUCAAGUCAUCUGUGAAAUCUCCGGGCUUAACUCGGAACGGUCAGAUGAUACUGCUUUGCUAGAGUGCAGAAGGGGCAAUCGGAAUUCUUGGUGUAGCGGUGAAAUGCGUAGAUAUCAAGAGGAACACCUGAGGCGAAGGCGGGUUGCUGGGCUGAUACUGACGCUGAGGCGCGAAAGCUAGGGUAGCAAACGGGAUUAGAUACCCAUGUAGUCCCUGAGCGGGCUGGCAAGGCGCAU